rnacentral:rRNA from 1 species
UGAGAAACCUGUCCCGGUCUCUGGAAUAACAGUCGGAAACGACUGCUAAUACCGGAUGCCGUCGGAGCGUCGCAUGGCGCGCUGACGAAAGGGCUACCGGAUCGGGAGGGUCUCGCGGCCUAUCAGCUUGUUGGUGAGGUAACGGCUCACCAAGGCAUCGACGGGUANCUGGUCUGAGAGGAUGAUCAGCCACACGUGGGACUGAGACACCGGCCCAGACCCUUCGUAACCGGGGACGG